UGGGGAAUCUUGCGCAAUGGGCGAAAGCCUGACGCAGCGACGCCGCGUGAGGGAAGAAGGCCUUCGGGUUGUAAACCUCUUUCAGGAGGGACGAAGCCACUCGGGUUAAUACCCCAGAGGGUGACGGUACCUCCAGAAGAAGCCCCGGCUAACUACGUGCCAGCAGCCGCGGUAAUACGUAGGGGGCAAGCGUUGUCCGGAAUUAUUGGGCGUAAAGCGCGUGUAGGCGGCCAGAUAAGUCCGCUGUGAAAUCUCGAGGCUCAACUUCGAGCUGUCGGUGGAAACUGUCUGGGUAGAGUCCGGAAGAGGAGAAUGGAAUUCCUGGUGUAGCGGUGAAAUGCGCAGAUAUCAGGAAGAACACCCGUGGCGAAGGCGGUUCUCUGGGACGGUACUGACGCUGAGACGCGAAAGCGUGGGGAGCGAACAGG
rnacentral:rRNA from 1 species